GCCAGCAUGGCAUAGUGGUUUGAGUACUGGACUAUAACUCUGGAGACCAGGGUUCGAUUCCCAGAUCAACCA